rnacentral:lncRNA from 1 species
AAUCACUCUCAGUUCUCUCGCGUUCUCUCUUUCACCCUCUCUCUGUAUUUCUCUGUAUCACUCUCACUCUCUCUUUUCGUUAUGUGUGUAUGUGCGUGCGGAUAAGACAGAGCUAGCAGAUGAGAGCGCCAGGAAGAAUUUCUAUGCCCAGCGCGGCCGCCAUCCCGAGAGGAAAAAAUGGGCAGAAAGGCUUGUUGCAGGAUCUAAUGUAAUCUUUUCUCAAAAACAACGAGAAAGGUUUUCGCUGGCAGUUGUAGUUGUUGUAUGAGAGGAGAUUUAAAAAAAAAAAAAAGAAAAAAAAGGAGGUGAAAGGAAUAUAAGAAAAGAAAUAAAAAGACAACGACAACCACAUCAACAUCAUCAUCAACAUCAGCAACAACGACGUGUUGAACUAUCUGAAAAACACCGACAUCUACACUAAAAAAAUAUAAAGGAAAGCAUAUUCAUAUAUAUACAUACAUAUAUAUAUAUAUAUAUAUAUAUAUAUAUAUAUAUAUAUAUAUGCAAUAUAACUGAUACAGACCAGAAGGAGGUGGAGUUGUAAAAAUAAUAUACAUAUAUAUACGCAUACGUAUAUGUAUGUUGUGUGUAUGUGAAAUUAUAUAGAUAUAUUAUAUAUAUAUUAAUGUGUAUCCAUUUAUAAUCAUUUUGCAGGAAGGAUACAAAAACACACGGAAUAAAAAAAAGUGAUCCUUCUGUUAUUUCAUAAGUAUACCACGUCGUUAUUCCAAACACCACUGAUAAUAAUAAUAAUAUAAUAUUAAUAAUAAUAAUAGUAAUAAUAACAAUGAUAAUAAUAAUUUAAGAAUAAGGAGAAGACCAACAGCAACAUCUUCCAGUGAAACAGUAAUAAUAAUAAUUACCAAAUAACAAAAAUAUAAUUAUUGUUAUUAUUAUCAUCAUUAUUAUUCAUUAUUAGCUUUACUACAUAUCUUCUCCUACUUUUUCUACACAUUAUCGUUAUAUUGUUAUCUAUUAUUAUUAUUAUUAUUAUUAUUAUUAUUAUUAUUAUUAUAAAUACCGUUGUUGUUGUCAUUAGUAUUUCUUUGUGCUUAGUAAGUCGCACCAAUGUUGAAACUACAAACUGCGACUAUUUGAAAAAAAAAAAACCAUCACCAACAACUACAACAACACCAUAACCAACAAUAAGAAGAAGCAAAAAAAAAAAAGAAAAAGAAGUAUAAUCACUACAGCUAACUUUAUACUACAAGGAUAGCCGGAUACGAGGAUGGAUGUUGACUGCUAUUAAAAACAGCGGUUACUGACUUACAAGAAAACCAACAAAAAAAAAGCACCCGAACCAAAAGAGAAGGAUUGUUUUAAUAUAAAUAACGCUUCACUAUCAUGUCUCAGGU